rnacentral:rRNA from 1 species
AUUGAACGCUGGCGGCAGGCCCAACACAUGCAAGUCGAGCGGGGUUUUCGGACCUAGCGGCGGACGGGUGAGUAAUGCGUAGGAAGCUGCCCGAUAGAGGGGGAUACCAGUUGGAAACGACUGUUAAUACCGCAUAAUGUCUACGGACCAAAGUGUGGGACCUUCGGGCCACAUGCUAUCGGAUGCGCCUACGUGGGAUUAGCUAGUUGGUGAGGUAAUGGCUCACCAAGGCGACGAUCUCUAGCUGGUUUGAGAGGAUGAUCAGCCACACUGGAACGGAGACACGGUCCAGACUCCUACGGGAGGCAGCAGUGGGGUAUAUUGGACAAUGGGCGCAAGCCUGAUCCAGCCAUGCCGCGUGUGUGAAGAAGGCCUUCGGGUUGUAAAGCACUUUCAGCGAGGAGGAAGGGUGGUGUGUUAAUAGCACAUCAUUUUGACGUUACUCGCAGAAGAAGCACCGGCUAACUCUGUGCCAGCCGCCGCCGUAA